CAAGGACCCGUCAACAUGGGCCGCGUUCGCACCAAAACCGUGAAGAAGGCGGCCCGGGUCAUCAUAGAGAAGAAGUACUACACGCACCUGGGCAACGACUUCCACACGAACAAGCACGUGUGCGAAGAGAUCGCCAUUAUCCCCAGCAAGAAGCUCCGCAACAAGAUAGCAGGCUAUGUCACCCAUCUGAUGAAGCGGAUUCAGAGAGGCCCUGUAAGAGGUAUCUCCAUCAAGCUGCAGGAGGAGGAGAGAGAAAGGAGAGACAAUUAUGUUCCCGAGGUCUCAGCCCUGGAUCAGGAGAUAAUUGAAGUAGAUCCUGACACUAAGGAAAUGCUGAAGCUUUUGGACUUCAGCAGUCUGUCCAACCUGCAGGUCACUCAGCCUACAGUUGGGAUGAAUUUCAAAAUGCCUCGGGGACCUGUUUGAAUUUUUUCUGCAGUGCUAUAUUAUUUUCAAUAAAUCUGGGACAACAGCAAAAAAAAAAAAAAAAA